rnacentral:rRNA from 11 species
UCUCCGUUGGUGAACCAGCGGAGGGAUCAUUACC